rnacentral:rRNA from 1 species
AUUGAACGCUGGCGGCAGGCCUAACACAUGCAAGUCGAGCGAGCGGCGGACGGGUGAGUAAGGUCUGGGAAACUGCCUGAUGGAGGGGGAUAACUACUGGAAACGGUAGCUAAUACCGCAUACCAUCAGAUGUGCCCAGAGUGGAUUAGCUAGUCGGUGGGGUAAUGGCUCACCUAGGCGACGAUCCCUAGCCGGUCUGAGAGGAUGACCAGCCACAAUGGGACUGGGACACGGUCCAGACUCCUACGGGAGGAAGCAGUGGGGAAUAUUGCACAAUGGACGCAAGCCUGAUGCAGCAAUGCCGCGUGUGUGAAGAAGGCCUUCGGGUUGUAAAACACUGUCAGCGAGGAGGCGUUACUCGCAGAAGAAGCACCGGCUAACUCCGUGCCAGCAGCCGCGGUAAUAC